ACGAUGGAUAUGGAUAUGGAUUUAGUUGACCCGUCCAGACCCGCCCCAUUGCCAUCCUGAUAUUGCGUCCCUUCGCCCGGUAAGACCACCAAUUCUUUUUUUGCCAUUCCAUUUUUUAAGAUUUUUUUUUCAAACCUUUCGAUACAAAUUUCAUGCCAUAUAAAAUACGUCUUAAAAUAGUAAUUUGUGGUCAAAAUCAUAUCUU
rnacentral:lncRNA from 1 species